rnacentral:misc_RNA from 1 species
AAGUCGUAACAAGGUUUCCGUAGGUGAACCUGCGGAAGGAUCAUUAUCAAGAGAAAUCUUUCCCAACCGAAAGAUCUUUUCCUUUGUGCUGGCUUUGACUGUAUGUAAUUUUGGGACUUCAAAAUGGUUUCGUCGUAAAACAACGAGCCGGUCCCAAAAAACAAUAUAUCAUCCUUAUGAAAUUUUUCUGAACUUAUAAACAAGUGAUUUUAAUAAUCUGUUUAAAACAACUUUCAACAACGGAUCUCUUGGUUCUC